rnacentral:rRNA from 2 species
UACGUAGGGGGCGAGCGUUGUCCGGAUUUACUGGGCGUAAAGCGCGUGUAGGCGGCUCUUUAAGUUGGGUGUGAAAGCCCGGGGCUCAACCCCGGGACGCCGCCCAAGACUGGGGAGCUUGAGGACGGAAGAGGGGCGUGGAAUUCCAGGUGUAGCGGUGAAAUGCGUAGAGAUCUGGAGGAACACCCGUGGCGAAGGCGGCGCCCUGGUCCGUUUCUGACGCUGAGACGCGAAAGCGCGGGGAGCGAACGGG